rnacentral:tRNA from 1 species
AAGGAAUAGUUUAUUGUAGAAUUCCAGCUUUGGGUGCUGGUGGUGAGGCUAUAGCUUCUUCCUUGAA